UAGGGUUAUUACUUUUGGGGGUAACUACGAUGUUACUGGUAAUGAUUGCUUUGUUCUCGGGUCGAUUUGGCAUUUUUUGUUAUUCUGUUUAAACUAGAGGUGCAGAAAUAUCGAUAUUAUCGAUGUUUGCCAAUCAUCGGAGCCACCAUCGAUGUUUUUUCACACAAUUCUGGGCUUGGUAGCAGCAAACAAAUAAAUUGUAAGUAAGAGAAGUUUUUAAUUGUUUUUCUAUAAUUAACUAAAUAUUUAAUUCAAUGAAGGGUUUCUAGUCGUGGUGUUGAUUAAUGUGGAUGGAUGCAGGAUGGACAACAACCUGAAAAGAGCUGGAUCGUCAGAUUCUUUAGAGUUGGAGACAGAAGCAAAACGGAAAAGAGAGCGUUCGAUAGCUUGGGACCAUUUCAAAAAGGGGACUGAUAAUAAACAUGGCAUUUACAACUAAUGCGGUAAAUGGCUGAAGACCGGUGGCAAUACCACAAACCUGCUUGACCAUCUCAAGCGCAUGCAUCAAAGUCGCUUAAGCACUGAAAGGGGAGAAAUGCCUAUGACGAUGGCAAAUUUUUUAAACAAGGAGUCGUUCUAUGGCAGUGACUCAGCGAUCAAAAAGAGACUUGAUCAGAAAGUCCUUAAGAUGAUUGUCAAAGACGUGCGACCAUUCAGUUUCGUACAUGAUGAAGGUUUUGUGGAACUCAUGCAAAAGCAGUCCCCCGCUAUAAAGUGCCAAGCCGAACUUAUUUUAGUGAUGUGAUGUUUCCCAGGGAAUAUGAUUAGCUACAGCAGAAAGUGCGUUCCGUAUUGGAUAAAGUAAAUUAUUGAUAUCUACAGCUCCUUUGAUAUCGCCAUCAAAUCACAACGCACAAAAUAUUGCGGACUCAAUAAAAUUGGUGUUGGCUCAGUGGCGUUUGUUAUCAAAGGUUGUUACAGUCACAACAGACAAUGACAGUACGAUGAAGAAA